rnacentral:rRNA from 1 species
UACGUAGGCAGCGAGCGUUGUUCGGAAUUACUGGGCGUAAAGAGUGUGUAGGCGGUGCUCUAAGUUCGGUGUGAAAUCUCCUGGCUUAACUGGGAGGGUGCGCCGGAAACUGGAGUGCUCGAGCGUGGGAGAGGAAAGCGGAAUUCCUGGUGUAGCGGUGAAAUGCGUAGAUAUCAGGAGGAACACCUGUGGUGUAGACGGCUUUCUGGACCAUUGCUGACGCUGAGACACGAAAGCGUGGGUAGCAAACAGG